GGUUUGUGGCUCAGAGGUAGAGCGCUUGCCUAGCAUGCGUGAGGCCUGGGUUCGAUCCUCAGCACCA
rnacentral:tRNA from 1 species